GUAGUGUACUCGCACGAGCAUUUCAUCAUAGACCACUACUGCUUUCUCGGAUAUGAAAUGGCUCAAAUCUUCACAACUGUCAAGGAACCUAGCGUCGAGUUGAUGGAGCUGAUAUGGGAAGUUGUCAGUAAUCACACUGAAGUGGACAAGUCUAAGUUUAAGAAAGUGGUCUGUUAAUGCUGCACUUCUGAUAAAUAAAUGUUAAUGAACCACA